GUCUGUGGCCAUAACAACCCUGAAUAUACCCGAUCUCGUCUGAUCUCAGAAGCUAAGAAGGGUUGGGCCUGGUUAUUACUUGGAUGGGAGAAUUGUAAAACAAAAACCCAACCUGAAUAAGAACAGGAGACAUGCACA
rnacentral:rRNA from 1 species